UACGUAGGGAGCAAGCGUUGUCCGGAAUCAUUGGGCGUAAAGCGCGCGUAGGCGGCCUCAUAAGUCCGUUGUGAAAGUCAAAGGCUCAACCUUUGAAAGCCGAUGGAUACUGUGAGGCUAGAGUCCGGAAGGAGGCGAGUGGAAUUCCUGGUGUAGCGGUGGAAUGCGCAGAUAUCAGGAGGAACACCAAUAGCGAAGGCAGCUCGCUGGGACGGUACUGACGCUAAGGCGCGAAAGCGUGGGGAGCGAACAGG
rnacentral:rRNA from 1 species